rnacentral:antisense_RNA from 1 species
UUUKGCAUUUGKAACAACUUCCCAGGKGAUUUUGAUGGACGCUGACUUUCARAGCUCAUUGCCCUAAAGAYUCCUGGCCUAAGAGKGAGGAAGUCUGAGGAAUCUGGUUUCAGCUCCACUGAWWUCUAACCGCACGUACACCAGGUCCUGCAGAUGACAACCUCUGGUGGAACGGAGUGAUGCUGGAUUCAGUACUCAACACACAAGUGUCAGCUCCUGGGAAGGGCAAAAGCAGCUUCACAGCGACACCAGGGAUGGCAGAGAUGUUCUUCCUCAGCGUUCCCAUGGAGAACACUAGUGUCCUGAGAGAGAAUGCACCUGCUUUGGUGAACACUGACUGUCUCAGCUGUGGCAUGACGACAAGGGCUUGGAGGAAAUGCCAACUGACUCCAGCAGCACAACCUGGAGAACGCGGCUCAGAGAAGACUUGAGAACGUGGCUCAGAGAAGACUUGCAGUGGGUGGGCCCGGCCUCUUCCAGGUGGGGGACUCCCAGGUGAGGCCACUGCUCUGCCCUGGGCCAUCACACUUUGAGAAGGGGACUGGGUGUAGGUAAUGCCCACACUUGGCCAUGAUUCUGCUUCCACAGAGGUCCCAGCUAAAUAGUCUUAAUUAACAAUGUGAUGUUACCUUUAAGGGAUGAAGGUUUAGUGAUUGAGAGAAAUGAGGAAUUCAGGAAUGUGCUUAGCACUGAGCGGUUUCUUAACACAUAUGGUUGGCAAAUCAAGGCACAACUUAAAACCACUCAAUUAAGGUAAUAAAUUAAGCAGUGAAACUAAUUUCUAAAUAUCCCAAAUUUGACACACAUUAUUCCAAAGAUCUCAGACCUCCUCCUGCCAUGGCCUUCCUUUCCUUUGAGCUGCUCAAGCCAUGUAAGUUGCCUCCCCUCUUUCUGUGAUAUCUUCUACCCAUUGGCAACAAAUCCUCUCCAAAGUGUGCAGCAUCUAGCCAUGUCUGAGCUACUGUCAAGGCUCAGCUGUGUGGCCACCACAUGACCUCCUGAC